rnacentral:rRNA from 1 species
AUUGAACGCUGGCGGCAGGCCUAACACAUGCAAGUCGAGCGAGAGGCGGACGGGUGAGUAAUGUAUGGGGACUGCCCGAUAGAGGGGGAUAAAUACUGGAAACGGUGGCUAAUACCGCAUACUAUCGGAUAACCCAUAUGGGAUUAGAUAGUAGGUGGGGUAAAGGCUCACCUAGGCGACGAUCUUUCGCUGGUCUGAGAGGAUGAUCAGCCACUCUUGGACUGAGACACGUCCCAGACUCCUACGGAGGCAGCAGUGGGGAAUAUUUGCAAAUGGGCGCAAGCCUGAUGCAGCCCUGCGGCGUGUAGGAAGAAGGCCUUAGGGUUGUAAAGUACGUUCAGCGGGGAGGCGUUACCCGCAGAAGAAGCACCGGCUAACUCCGUGCCAGCCGCCGCGGUAAUUC